rnacentral:rRNA from 1 species
GCUACGGGAGGCAGCAGUGGGGAAUAUUGGACAAUGGGGGGAACCCUGAUCCAGCCAUGCCGCGUGUGUGAAGAAGGCCCUCGGGUUGUAAAGCACUUUCAGUGAGGAAGAACGCCUGGUGGUUAAUACCCAUCAGGAAAGACAUCACUCACAGAAGAAGCACCGGCUAACUCCGUGCCAGCAGCCGCGGUAAUACGGAGGGUGCGAGCGUUAAUCGGAAUUACUGGGCGUAAAGCGCGCGUAGGUGGCUUGAUAAGCCGGUUGUGAAAGCCCCGGGCUCAACCUGGGAACGGCAUCCGGAACUGUCAAGCUAGAGUGCAGGAGAGGAAGGUAGAAUUCCCGGUGUAGCGGUGAAAUGCGUAGAGAUCGGGAGGAAUACCAGUGGCGAAGGCGGCCUUCUGGACUGACACUGACACUGAGGUGCGAAAGCGUGGGUAGCAAACAGGAUUAGAUACCCCGGUAGUC